rnacentral:rRNA from 1 species
UACGGAGGGUGCAAGCGUUAUCCGGAUUCACUGGGUUUAAAGGGUGCGUAGGUGGGCAGGUAAGUCAGUGGUGAAAGCUCCGAGCUUAACUUGGAAACUGCCAUUGAUACUGUAUAUCUUGAAUAUCGUAGAGGUUAGCGGAAUGUUGCAUGUAGCGGUGAAAUGCUUAGAUAUGUUACAGAACACCAAUUGCGAAGGCAGCUAACUAUGCGACAAUUGACGCUGAGGCACGAAAGCGUGGGGAGCAAACAGG